GAUGAACGCUGGCGGCGUGCCUAAUACAUGCAAGUCGAGCGAACAGAUAAGGAGCUUGCUCCUUUGACGUUAGCGGCGGACGGGUGAGUAACACGUGGGUAACCUACCUAUAAGACUGGGAUAACUUCGGGAAACCGGAGCUAAUACCGGAUAAUAUUUCGAACCGCAUGGUUCGAUAGUGAAAGAUGGUUUUGCUAUCACUUAUAGAUGGACCCGCGCCGUAUUAGCUAGUCGGUAAGGUAACGGCUUACCAAGGCGACGAUACGUAGCCGACCUGAGAGGGUGAUCGGCCACACUGGAACUGAGACACGGUCCAGACUCCUGCGGGAGGCAGCAGUAGGGAAUCUUCCGCAAUGGGCGAAAGCCUGACGGAGCAACGCCGCGUGAGUGAUGAAGGUCUUCGGAUCGUAAAACUCUGUUAUUAGGGAAGAACAUACGUGUAAGUAACUAUGCACGUCUUGACGGUACCUAAUCAGAAAGCCACGGCUAACUACGUG
rnacentral:rRNA from 1 species